rnacentral:rRNA from 1 species
AACGAACGCUGGCGGCAGGCCUAACACAUGCAAGUCGAACGCUGUAGCAAUACAGAGUGGCAGACGGGUGAGUAACGCGUGGGAACAUGCCCUUCGGUUCGGAAUAACUCAGGGAAACUUGAGCUAAUACCGGAUACGCCCUUAGGGGGAAAGAUUUAUUGCCGAAGGAUUGGCCCGCGUCCGAUUAGCUAGUUGGUGAGGUAAUGGCUCACCAAGGCGACGAUCGGUAGCUGGUCUGAGAGGAUGAUCAGCCACACUGGGACUGAGACACGGCCCAGACUCCUACGGGAGGCAGCAGUGGGGAAUAUUGGACAAUGGGCGCAAGCUUGAUCCAGCCAUGCCGCGUGAGUGAUGAAGGCCCUAGGGUUGUAAAGCUCUUUCGCCAGGGACGAUAAUGACGGUACCUGGAUAAGAAGCCCCGGCUAACUCCGUGCCAGCAGCCGCCGUAAAAC